UACGGAGGGUGCAAGCGUUAUCCGGAUUCACUGGGUUUAAAGGGUGCGUAGGAGGGCAGGUAAGUCAGUGGUGAAAUCCCCGAGCUUAACUUGGGAACUGCCGUUGAUACUAUCUGUCUUGAAUGCUGUGGAGGUGAGCGGAAUAUGUCAUGUAGCGGUGAAAUGCUUAGAUAUGACAUAGAACACCAAUUGCGAAAGCAGCUCGCUACACAGUUAUUGACUCUGAGGCACGAAAGCGUGGGGAUCAAACAGG
rnacentral:rRNA from 1 species